rnacentral:rRNA from 1 species
CGUACACUCCUGCGGGAGGCAGCAGUGGGGAAUAUUGGACAAUGGGCGCAAGCCUGAUCCAGCCAUGCCGCGUGAGUGAUGAAGGCCCUAGGGUUGUAAAGCUCUUUCACCGGAGAAGAUAAUGACGGUAUCCGGAGAAGAAGCCCCGGCUAACUUCGUGCCAGCAGCCGCGGUAAUACGAAGGGGGCUAGCGUUGUUCGGAAUUACUGGGCGUAAAGCGCACGUAGGCGGAUCGAUCAGUCAGGGGUGAAAUCCCAGGGCUCAACCCUGGAACUGCCUUUGAUACUGUCGAUCUGGAGUAUGGAAGAGGUGAGUGGAAUUCCGAGUGUAGAGGUGAAAUUCGUAGAUAUUCGGAGGAACACCAGUGGCGAAGGCGGCUCACUGGUCCAUUACUGACGCUGAGGUGCGAAAGCGUGGGGAGCAAACAGGAUUAGAAACCCCGGUAGUCCCA